GCCUAUAAUAAACACAAUAACUUUCGCCCAACAGUUUAUAGUUCAAUAUCGCAGUCGUUUAUUGUUUUUCUUUUUAGGAGUGGUUGGUAGACUAUAGAAUUGUGCAGCUCAUGCUCUAUCCACGACAAUUGUUUCCGUUAUCUAAUGAUGCCGGGGCGCUCGAACUGGAGCCCUUGCGUGAGGCUUCCAAAGUUUUUACAGAUUGAAUUUCGAAUGUCUAAGUCAUCCAUAAAGAUGAGAUUCUUUAGGCUGGACCAGAUGCAGACGAGGGGCAGGCCUUUUCCGUGCUAGUGCCGCAGGGGACUGUCUGUGAUGACUCCAUCUGUGGUGUCUGGCUCCUCCGCGGGCAGCAGAUGGCUUCAAGGACCAGUGGCUGGAGGAUCUGCAAGCAAGUGAUGGCAGACAGAAGGACCAUCAAAGCGAGGGAUUGGCAAGGAAUUGCAGAGAACCAGAGGACCAAAGCCCUGAUCUAUUGACCAAUCCUAUCUAACACGAUGACCAGCUCAAUCCAUUAUUGAGAUGAGUAGCUCAGCCAAUAAAAGUCAAAACACUAUUAACAAUUCAUCAUGUUCAUAGUAGAUUGUUUUUGAUAAAUUCUGUCACAUAUUAGUCAUAUUAGUCAGUCCCCUGUAGCUCAGUUGGUAGAGCAUGGCGCUUGCAACGCCA